GGUGUGUACUGGUCUUGAUGGAAGCUUACCUCUUGGUGGGUCGGCAUGCCCUUCGUUGGGUGUGUCGAUUAACCAGGACUUUUACUUUGAGAAAAUUAGAGUGUUCAAAGCAGGCUUUCGCCCGAAUACAUUAGCAUGGAAUAAUAGAAUAGGACGCGCGUCUUUAUUUUGUUGGUUUCUAAAUUCGCCGUAAUGAUUAAUAGGGAUAGUCGGGGGCAUUCGUAUUGCUUGGUCAGAGGUGAAAUUCUUGGAUUCUAGCAAGACGAACUACUGCGAAAGCAUUUGCCAAGGAUGUUUUCAUUGAUCAAGAACGAAGGUUAGGGGAUCGAAAACGAUCAGAUACCGUUGUAGUCUUAACAGUAAACUAUGCCGACUAGGGAUCGGACAAGCACAAUCUAUGACUUGUUCGGCACCUGAAGAGAAAUCUUUAAGUCUAGGUUCGGGGGGGAGUAUGGUCGCAAGGCUGAAACUUAAAGGAAUUGACGGAAGGGCACCACCAGGUGUGGAGCCCGCGGCUUAAUUUGACUCAACACGGGGAAACUCACCAGGUCCAGACACAAUAAGGAUUGACAGAUUGAUAGCUCUUUCUUGAUCUUGUGGUUGGUGGUGCAUGGCCGUUCUUAGUUGGUGGAGUGAUUUGUCUGGUUAAUUCCGAUAACGAACGAGACCUUAACCUGCUAAAUAGACCCGGGGCCUUAGGGAACCGGCUGUCUUCUUAGAGGGACUGUAGG
rnacentral:rRNA from 1 species